UAGGGAAUCUUCCACAAUGGACGCAAGUCUGAUGGAGCAACGCCGCGUGAGUGAAGAAGGUCUUCGGAUCGUAAAACUCUGUUGUUAGAGAAGAACACGAGUGAGAGUAACUGUUCAUUCGAUGACGGUAUCUAACCAGCAAGUCACGGCUAACUACGUGCCAGCAGCCGCGGUAAUACGUAGGUGGCAAGCGUUGUCCGGAUUUAUUGGGCGUAAAGGGAACGCAGGCGGUCUUUUAAGUCUGAUGUGAAAGCCUUCGGCUUAACCGGAGUAGUGCAUUGAAAACUGGAAGACUUGAGUGCAGAAGAGGAGAGUGGAACUCCAUGUGUAGCGGUGAAAUGCGUAGAUAUAUGGAAGAACACCAGUGGCGAAAGCGGCUCUCUGGUCUGUAACUGACGCUGAGGUUCGAAAGCGUGGGUAGCAAACAGGAUUAGAUACCCUGGUAGUCCACGCCGUAAACGAUGAAUGCUAGGUGUUGGAGGGUUUCCGCCCUUCAGUGCCGCAGCUAACGCAAUAAGCAUUCCGCCUGGGGAGUACGACCGCAAGGUUG
rnacentral:rRNA from 1 species